GCAUUAAUGGGGUAGUGGUAACCUGGGUCGUUGCCAUCCGAGUUUGACUCGACCCGCCGGGGGUUCGAUUCCCCCUUAAUGCA